UCCCAAAGGCGCCAGGGACUGCAGG
rnacentral:misc_RNA from 1 species